rnacentral:tRNA from 1 species
GCCUGGUUAGCUCAGUUGGUAGAGCGUUUCACUGAAAAUGAAGAGGCCACGGGUUCGAUACCCGAACCAGGCG